GUGGCAAUGGAGGAGUGCAGGGAGAAGAAAACUCCUGGCACUCAUUCUUUCUUGCUACAGAAUUAAAAGAUUUCUCUGCUUUUCUCCUUCUUUUCCCCUUGGGUGGUGUGUUCAGCGGUCACCCUCAGGGGAAACAGGUGUCCCCCCCCCCUGGAGGAAAUGGACUGAUCGGAACCUGGCUGUGACAUCGGCUCAGAAUCCCAGCCUCACUUUGCAGUUGAGGCCAACAGCCUUUUGGUGGUUUCUCUGCAAGUGAAUCAGGAAAAACUGUGAUUAGACGCCGAGAAAGCAAAGUCUGAAGACUGAUGUCUGCGGAAAUGUCAGCCACCGAGGAGGACAUUCCCAAUGUCAAGGAGGACGAAGGAAAAGGCGAGGAGGAGACGACCGCAAGACGGCUGGAUCUCCUCAGCCCUGACUGGGUAGGUGGCCGUGGCCUAAGUGGUGAUUGGCAGAAGGGGAGGGGGGCAUAUCAACCGCAGAAUGGAACUGUUGUUUCAGUUAUGGGUGCCUUGAGUUUUAACGUUUGGUUGCGUUUUUUAAUUGCUCGUUUUUUGCAUCUUUUCCUUGCAGGUUCCAAGUAUGUCACCAUUUUCCAGUGUUUCCUCCCUGUCCUCCCUGGAUUCCCUUUGGGACUCCCUCAAUGAGGUACGUAGCAGACAGAGCAGGAGGGAAGCCCUGCUGAGCUGCACAUGGGCAACCCUGAGGCUGGGGAGGAGGAGGAAGAGGAGGAAGAGGAGGAUGCUGGCUGGCUGACCGGCCAGGCCACCUUCUGGACGGUUGAGAGCAAGGGGGCAAACAGGCAGGGGGCUGCUAAGGGCAGACCAUGCUUGCUGCCCCACUCCUCCUGAUGGACCAGCCCCCCAUGGUGCCAGGGCUGUAGGGCUUCCCUGGCUAGCGACUCAAUGUAGGCAAGAGAGUUUCCCUUCUGGGUUCCUGUCUCAUUUUGGGAUGCUCUCUUUCUCCUCUCUCCCCACCGUCAACUCUGGGGUCCUGUCUCUGCUAGCAGUCCGCCACUGAGGAGGACAUUCCCAAUGUCAAGGAGGACGAAGGAAAAGGCGAGGAGGAGACGACCGCAAGACGGCUGGAUCUCCUCAGCCCUGACUGGGUAGGUGGCCGUGGCCUAAGUGGUGAUUGGCAGAAGGGGAGGGGGGCAUAUCAACCGCAGAAUGGAACUGUUGUUUCAGUUAUGGGUGCCUUGAGUUUUAACGUUUGGUUGCGUUUUUUAAUUGCUCGUUUUUUGCAUCUUUUCCUUGCAGGUUCCAAGCAUGUCACCAUUUUCCAGUGUUUCCUCCCUGUCCUCCCUGGAUUCCCUUUGGGACUCCCUCAAUGAGGUACGUAGCAGACAGAGCAGGAGGGAAGCCCUGCUGAGCUGGAGAACCCUGAGGCUGGGGGGGAGGAGGAGGAGGAGGAGGAAGCCGGCUGGCCGGUCAGGCCACCUUCUGGACUGGUCGUGAGCAAGGGGGCAGGCAGGCAGGCAGGCAGGGGGCUGCUAAGGGUAUGCUUGCUGCCCUACUUGUCCUGAUGGACCAGCCCCCCAUGGCGCCAGGGCUGUAGGGCUUCCCUGGCUAGCGACUCAAUGUGGGUUCCUGUCUCAUUCUGGGCUGCUCUCUUUCUCCCCUCUCCCCACCACCAAUGCCACCACCUCUGGGGUCCUGUCUCUGCUGGCAGGCAGUCUCUGAAGUGGCUAUCGAGGAGGAAGAGCCACAGGAAGUACCAGAGAGCCCCCCAGAGGAGGACGGGGAGGACAAGGAGGACAAGGAGGCCCUUUAUUCGCCGUGCCCCCCACCUGGAGAACACCUGGAGGCAAGCAUAAUCGAGGUCAGACGAAACACACAUUCAUUCAUGACAUUUGA
rnacentral:lncRNA from 1 species